rnacentral:rRNA from 1 species
AUUGAACGCUGGCGGCAGGCCUAACACAUGCAAGUCGAGCGGAUGAAGGGAGCUUGCUCCUGGAUUCAGCGACGGACGGGUGAGUAAUGCCUAGGAAUCUGCCUGGUAGUGGGGGAUAACGUCCGGAAACGGGCGCUAAUACCGCAUACGUCCUGAGGGAGAAAGUGGGGGAUCUUCGGACCUCACGCUAUCAGAUGAGCCUAGGUCGGAUUAGCUAGUUGGUGGGGUAAAGGCCUACCAAGGCGACGAUCCGUAACUGGUCUGAGAGGAUGAUCAGUCACACUGGAACUGAGACACGGUCCAGACUCCUACGGGAGGCAGCAGUGGGGAAUAUUGGACAAUGGGCGAAAGCCUGAUCCAGCCAUGCCGCGUGUGUAAAGAAGGUCUUCGGAUUGUAAAGCACUUUAAGUUGGGAGGAAGGGCAGUAAGUUAAUACCUUGCUGUUUUGACGUUACCAACAGAAUAAGCACCGGCUAACUUCGUG